rfam:Lottia gigantea unplaced genomic scaffold LOTGIsca_22, whole genome shotgun sequence.
GCCCAACUGAGCCUCAGGGGUCUGGGGUUCAGGCUUCAAACCUGUAACUGAUUAACGUCAGAGUGGUUCGACUCCACCUGGUGGGC